CUACGGGAGGCACCAGUGAGGAAUAUUGCACAAUGGGGGGAACCCUGAUGCAGCAACGCCGCGUGGAGGAUGACGCAUUUCGGUGUGUAAACUCCUUUUAUAUGUCAAGAAAAUGACGGUAGCAUAUGAAUAAGCACCGGCUAACUCCGUGCCAGCAGCCGCGGUAAUACGGAGGGUGCAAGCGUUACUCGGAAGCACUGGGCGUAAAGGACGCGUAGGCGGGUUGGAAAGUCAGGUGUGAAAUCCUACAGCUUAACUGUAGAACUGCACUUGAAACUUCUAAUCUAGAGUAUGGGAGGGGGAGAUGGAAUUAGUGGUGUAGGGGUAAAAUCCGUAGAUAUCACUAGGAAUACCUAAAGCGAAGGCGAUCUCCUGGAACAUUACUGACGCUAAGGCGUGAAAGCGUGGGGAGCAAACAGGAUUAGAUACCCGUGUAGUC
rnacentral:rRNA from 1 species